rnacentral:lncRNA from 1 species
CGCCGACGAUUCGUCCACGGACGAUUGUGAUCGUCGACGAAAACCUCGACCCAGCGACAAGGGGAAAAUGGAAGACAUCGAUCGCAUGGGAGAAUUUUUCUAUUCCAACCAGAACCCAUAUAUCGCAUCAGGGCAUUUCUCCUUGGCGACCAAAAUCCAUCAAUCGCAUUGGCGGAUUUUUUCUUUAACACCCAUAACCCAUCGAAAUUCAUCUCGAAAC